rnacentral:rRNA from 1 species
UACGGAGGAUGCGAGCGUUAUCCGGAUUUAUUAGGUUUAAAGGGUCCGUAGGCGGACUAAUAAGUCAGUGGUGAAAUCCUGCAGCUCAACUGUAGAACUGCCAUUGAUACUGUUGGUCUUGAGUUUAGACGAGGUAAGCGGAAUGUGUAGUGUAGCGGUGAAAUGCUUAGAUAUUACACAGAACACCGAUUGCGAAGGCAGCUUACUAGACUAUAACUGACGCUGAUGGACGAAAGCGUGGGUAGCGAACAGG